rnacentral:rRNA from 1 species
UGGGAACCCUGAGAGGGAACCCCGGGAACUGGGGCUAAUCCCAGAUAGAUGAGAAAUCCUGGAAUGGAUUCUCGUUCAAAAGGCAUCAAGGUCAUGCUUCUUGGUGUCGCUCAAGGAUGGGGCCGCGGCCGAUCAGGCUGUUGGUGAGGUAACGGCUCACCAAACCUAUAACCGGUACGGGCCGCGGGAGCGGGAGCCCGGAGAUGGGAACUGAGACAAGGUCCCAGGUCCUACGGGGCGCAGCAGUUGCGAAAACUCCGCAAUGCACGAAAGUGUGACGGGGCUACCCCGAGUGCUGUCCGCUGAGGAUAGCUUUUGCUAGGUCUAAGGAGCCUUGUGAAUAAGGAGAGGGCAAGUCUGGUGUCAGCCGCCGCGGUAAUACCAGCUCUCCGAGUGGUAGGGAUGCUUAUUGGGCUUAAAGCGUCCGUAGCUGGCUUUUCAAGUCUCUCGUUAAAUCCAGCGAUUCAAUCGUUGGACUGCGGGAGAUACUGUUAGGCUUGGGGGCGGGAGAAGCCGACGGUAUUCCCGGUGUAGGAGUAAAAUCCUAUUAUCCCGGGAGGACCACCAGUGGCGUAGGCGGUCGGCUAGCACGCGCCCGACGGUGAGGGACGAAAGCUGGGGGAGCAAACCGGAUUAGAUACCCGGAUAGUCUCAGCUGUAAACGAUGCGGGCUAGGUGUUGAAGUGGCUACGAGCCGCUUCAGUGCCGCAGGGAAGCCAUUAAGCCCGCCGCCUGGGGAGUACGGCCGCAAGGCUGAAACUUAAAGGAAUUGGCGGGGGAGCAC